UACGGGGGGGGCGAGCGUUGUUCGGAAUUACUGGGCGUAAAGGGUUUGUAGGUGGUCUGCUAAGUCAGACGUGAAAUCCCUCAGCUUAACUGGGGAACUGCGUUUGAUACUGGCGGACUUGAGGACAGGAGAGGAACGCGGAAUUCCAGGUGUAGCGGUGAAAUGCGUAGAUAUCGGGAGGAACACCAGUGGCGAAGGCGACUACCUGGCCUGUUCUUGACGCUGAGGCGCGAAAGCUAGGGGAGCAAACGGG
rnacentral:rRNA from 1 species